UGUUACUACAUGAAUAAAGUAGAGAUAGAUACAAAACUUCCUAUAGUCGGUGAUCAGAAAUGGAUAAUAUGGAUUUGUUCCUUCAAUGUGCCAAUGGCACCUGGGAAGACACGUUCUAUCGUUUGUAGUGCUCGAAACUUCUUCCAAUUCACAAUGCCAGGGCCUGCCUGGUGGCAGGUGGUUCCAAGGUGGCACGAGCACUGGACCUCAAAUAAGGUAUAUGAUGGAGACAUGAUUGUUCUUCAGGGUCAGGAGAAGAUCUUUCUUUCCAAAUCAAAGGACGGUUCCACUGAUGUGAAUCAAGAUUACACAAAGCUCACAUUCACACCCACUCAAGCAGAUCGCUUUGUAUUAGCAUUUCGAAAUUGGCUGAGGCGGCAUGGCAACAGCCAACCUGAGUGGUUUGGCUUCAGUAAUCAACAGCCUUUGCCUUCAACAGUCCUGUCCAAACGCCAGAUGUUGGAUAGAUUUGAGCAGCACACCCAGCAGUGCUCAUCAUGUAAAAGGGCUUAUACAGCAUUCCAGGCUUUAGAAAAAUUUCUAAUUGGAGCAACUGUUUUCUUCUCUGCAACAGCUGGGAUUCCCUCAGAUUUGCAGUUUAGAGUUUUCCUGGCUGGACUU
rnacentral:misc_RNA from 1 species